CUCCAACCAUAAGUCUCUUGCCUCACUCACACUCCCCCAGUCGGACCUAAGCGGAAUCCUGGGAUGUGAAAUCUCCGGUUCUUGCCCCAUGAUGUCUGCUGGUGGGGGUAAGUAUUGAUCGAGGUGUCUACAGAGCAUUUUGGUCUCUUUUUGGGCUAAUAAGCCUGUAAUCAGUCAGAGCUCCUCAGAGACACGUCUGUGCUCCUGCACAGUUGCCCC